AUGCACGCUGGCGGCGUGCCUAAUCCCUGCCAGUCGAGCGAACGGACGAGAAGCUUGCUUCUCUGAUGUUAGCGGCGGACGGGUGAGUAACACGUGGAUAACCUACCUAUAAGACUGGGAUAACUUCGGGAAACCGUAGCUAAUACCGGAUAAUAUUUUGAACCGCAUGGUUCAAAAGUGAAAGACGGUCUUGCUGUCACUUAUAGAUGGAUCCGCGCUGCAUUAGCUAGUUGGUAAGGUAACGGCUUACCAAGGCAACGAUGCAUAGCCGACCUGAGAGGGUGAUCGGCCACACUGGAACUGAGACACGGUCCAGACUCCUACGGGAGGCAGCAGUAGGGAAUCUUCCGCAAUGGGCGAAAGCCUGACGGAGCAACGCCGCGUGAGUGAUGAAGGUCUUCGGAUCGUAAAACUCUGUUAUUAGGGAAGAACAUAUGUGUAAGUAACUGUGCACAUCCUGACGGUACCUAAUCAGAAAGCCACGGCUAACUACGUG
rnacentral:rRNA from 1 species